ensembl:lncRNA
AUCAGUGCUGUUUUGUAUUGAGGUAUUGUUGUAUCAGUGGUGGUUUGUAUUUAGGUAGUGUUGUAUCAGUGCUGUUUUGUAUUGAGGUAUUGUUGUAUCAGUAGUGUUUUGUAUUGAGGUAGUGUUGUAUCAGUGCUGUUUUGUAUUGAGGUAUUGUUGUAUCAGUAGUGUUUUGUAUUGAGGUAGUGUUGUAUCAGUGGUGUUUUGUAUUGAGGUAUUGUUGUUUCAGUAGUGUCUUGUAUUGUGGUGGUGUUGUAUUGUUGGUGUUUUGUAUUGAGUUGGUGUUGUAUCAGUGGUGUUUUGUAUUGAGGUAGUGUUUUAUUGUUGG